rnacentral:rRNA from 1 species
GGCUAACGCUGGCGGCGUGUCUUAGCCAUGCAAGUCGAGCGGACUUAUGGGGUAACUUAUAAGUCAGCGGCGGACGGCGGAGUAACACGUAGCUAACCUACCCUCUGGACGGGGAUAACCUACCGAAAGGUGGGCUAAUACCCGAUGUAGUCAUCCUGUAUAGGGGUGAUGAAAGGUGGGCUUCUGUUUGCAAGCUCAUGCUGGAGGAGGGGGCUGCGGCCUAUCAGGUAGUUGGUAGGGUAAUAGCCUACCAAGCCGAUGACGGGUAGCCGGCCUGAGAGGGUGACCGGCCCGAGGGGCACUGAGAUACGGGUCCCACUCCUACGGGAGGCAGCAGGCUAGAAAUUUGGGCAAUGGGGGAAACCCUGACCCAGUGACGCCGCGUGCAGGAAGGAGCCCUUCGGGGUGUAAACUGCUGUCGUGUAGGGAGAAGGGUACUAAGGUGAACAAUCUUAGUACUUGACGGUACUACAGGAGGAAGCCCAGGCUAACCUCGUG